rnacentral:rRNA from 1 species
UGAGGAAUAUUGCGCAAUGGGGGAAACCCUGACGCAGCAACGCCGCGUGGGUGAAGAAGGCCUUCGGGUCGUAAAGCCCUUUCGGACGGGACGAACGCUCCGCGGGGAUAAUCCGCGGAGUCUGACGGUACCGUAGGAAGAAGCACCGGCUAACUCCGUGCCAGCAGCCGCGGUAAUACGGAGGGUGCAAGCGUUGUUCGGAAUUACUGGGCGUAAAGCGCGUGUAGGCGGCCUGGUAAGUCAGAUGUGAAAGCCCUCGGCUUAACCGGGGAAGUGCAUCUGAAACUGCCUGGCUUGAGUACGGGAGAGGGAGGCGGAAUUCCCAGUGUAGAGGUGAAAUUCGUAGAUAUUGGGAGGAACACCGGUGGCGAAAGCGGCCUCCUGGACCGAUACUGACGCUGAGACGCGAAAGCGUGGGGAGCAAACAGGAUUAGAUACCCUGGUAGUCCACGCUGUAAACGAUGGGCACUAGGUGUGGGGGGUAUCCACUCCUCCCGUGCCGCAGCUAACGCAUUAAGUGCCCCGCCUGGGGAGUACGGCCGCAAGGCUA